rnacentral:lncRNA from 1 species
CUCUGACUUUGGGCUUGUGUUGGCCUGUCUGGAGCGGUGAUUUGGCUUGGAGGAGCUGGUGGCUUUGGCUUCAGAAACGUGUGUGACAUAACACCUGCUGUGAUAUCUGGGGUUUGCAGGAGAUGGCUGCUAAUAACAGUUAGUUGUUAUGCAUGGAAUAACUGUCCCUGACUGCAGCAGGAGCACAGUGUGUGCCAGGACAGACAGAUGAUUGUAGCAGGAGCCUUGAACCAUCACAGGAAGGAGGCACCAGAGCUAGAAACCCACCAGAGCUAGUUCCCUGGUUAGCAAAGAAAGGCAGCUCUGGGAAAUGAGAAAAGCAGUGCUUGGGACAGCAAAGAGAAGAAAGUAUGGAACACAUUUACUGGACAGCAAAUGUGGAUACGCCAUGGAGCCCUGAGCAAGGGAAGAAAGACAAAGGCAUGGAGGUUGCCAGCAAAAGUGUAGAAACUUCCACUGAGUUCUCACAUGUGGAUGAAGAAAUCAAUAUCAUACUCCUGGCAAUUAACUUGGUAUGCUGCUGGCUUCUCCACUGGCAGCCCAAAAACUUCCCUGUCAGGACAUGGGAAAUGAGUGGAAGGAAGUUGUCACAAGACUAGCAAGUAGAAGAAAGGCAACCCUAGAAGCAGUGAGAGCUCACCCAAUGGAGUUGAAUCCAUAUGAGAUGCUGUACUCUGACAGCAUCACUAUAUUGCAGAAUGUACUUUUGAGGAAAGUUUAUUUAAUAUGCUUGUAUAAACAUUCCAGGAGCAUAAAGAAGAACCAUUGGGAGUUUUGCCAACUCAUGUCUGAACACAGUGUAAAGACUCUCUUUCUCUGGAUGUAACCAGUGGCAGCAGUUAAAGGAGAUAUGAUAGCUCCUCUGCAGAUGACUUACCACAAAUUUUUUUAACUUUAGGAACAAGCAAAAACAUAUUGCUUUUUUACUUUGUUUUUAAACUAGGUGACAUGGGCCAGUUCUAAUCUCUUCAACAAGGACAUAAGGCCUGUAUAAACUUCAGUGAGUAGAAAUGCUGUCAGGCUGUGAGAUUAUUUUGCGUAUAGAAAGUUUCUCUUUCUGUUCUGGCAAACACAGCAGCAAGAUGUACUGUAUUUAAGUGAACUAAUGUGCAUAUAAAACUUUAACAAUUAGCUUGUGGACUUUAGAACAAAUUCACCAGACAUAUGCCUAUGUGAAUUGAGAUCUAGUUGACAUCCUUUUUUAAACAUGUUUAUAGACCAGGCAUUUUUUUCUCACGUUGUUAGCCCUGAAGGUUAGAUUAAACCUUCAUAAAGACUUUGACACACUUCAUUAAAAAGUAAAAUGGCAUCACUGGAGUGACUUUAAGUCACAAGAUGAAGGAAAAACUGACUAAACUUAUUGAAAAAUUCUUUGCAGAUCUACCACAGAAGCUUAAUUCCAGUUUUUAAAUAAGAGAGCUUUGCUUUUUUUUUUUUUUUUUUUUUUACAUGCUGGUAUUUAGUAAAUAGGAAUAGAUUUUUACUUUUAUUUCAAAGUUUUCCUCUCAUUAGUAUCCUCUCCUACUUCUUUUUGUUUUCAAAAUUCUUG